GGGUUGUGAGGUUAAGCGACCAAGCGUACACGGUGGAUGCCCUGGCAGUCAGAGGCGAUGAAGGACGUGCUAAUCUGCGAUAAGCGCCGGUAAGGUGAUAUGAACCGUUAUAACCGGCGAUUUCCGAAUGGGGAAACCCAGUGUGAUUCGUCACACUAUCAUUACGUGAAUACAUAGCGUAAUGAAGCGAACCGGGGGAACUGAAACAUCUAAGUACCCCGAGGAAAAGAAAUCAACCGAGAUUCCCCCAGUAGCGGCGAGCGAACGGGGAGGAGCCCAGAGCCUGAAUCAGCAUGUGUGUUAGUGGAAGCGUCUGGAAAGGCGCGCGAUACAGGGUGACAGCCCCGUACACAAAAGCGCAUAUGCUGUGAGCUCGAUGAGUAGGGCGGGACACGUGGUAUCCUGUCUGAAUAUGGGGGGACCAUCCUCCAAGGCUAAAUACUCCUGACUGACCGAUAGUGAACCAGUACCGUGAGGGAAAGGCGAAAAGAACCCCGGCGAGGGGAGUGAAACAGAACCUGAAACCGUGUACGUACAAGCAGUGGGAGCCCCACCACUAAGCCAGUGGUGAACUCCACAUACGCAUCCUUUGCGGAAGGUGCGGUUAACGGAGCGAAAGCGACGUUCAACCUCAAAAGAAGCAGAGGGGGCUUAGUGGUGGGGUGACUGCGUACCUUUUGUAUAAUGGGUCAGCGACUUAUAUUCUGUAGCAAGGUUAACCGCAUAGGGGAGCCGAAGGGAAACCGAGUCUUAAUUGGGCGUUAAGUUGCAGGGUAUAGACCCGAAACCCGGUGAUCUAGCCAUGGGCAGGUUGAAGGUUGGGUAACACUAACUGGAGGACCGAACCGACUAAUGUUGAAAAAUUAGCGGAUGACCUGUGGCUGGGGGUGAAAGGCCAAUCAAACCGGGAGAUAGCUGGUUCUCCCCGAAAGCUAUUUAGGUAGCGCCUCGUGAAUUCAUCUCCGGGGGUAGAGCACUGUUUCGGCUAGGGGGCCAUCCCGGCUUACCAACCCGAUGCAAACUGCGAAUACCGGAGAAUGUUAUCACGGGAGACACACGGCGGGUGCUAACGUCCGUCGUGAAGAGGGAAACAACCCAGACCGCCAGCUAAGGUCCCAAAGUCAUGGUUAAGUGGGAAACGAUGUGGGAAGGCCCAGACAGCCAGGAUGUUGGCUUAGAAGCAGCCAUCAUUUAAAGAAAGCGUAAUAGCUCACUGGUCGAGUCGGCCUGCGCGGAAGAUGUAACGGGGCUAAACCAUGCACCGAAGCUGCGGCAGCGACGCUUAUGCGUUGUUGGGUAGGGGAGCGUUCUGUAAGCCGUUGAAGGUGUGUCGUGAGGCAUGCUGGAGGUAUCAGAAGUGCGAAUGCUGACAUAAGUAACGAUAAAGCGGGUGAAAAGCCCGCUCGCCGGAAGACCAAGGGUUCCUGUCCAACGUUAAUCGGGGCAGGGUGAGUCGACCCCUAAGGCGAGGCCGAAAGGCGUAGUCGAUGGGAAACGGGUUAAUAUUCCCGUACUUGGUGUUACUGCGAAGGGGGGACGGAGAAGGCUAUGUUGGCCGGGCGACGGUUGUCCCGGUUUAAGCGUGCAGGUGUGUGUUCCAGGUAAAUCCGGUUCACUUUAACACUGAGGCGUGAUGACGAGGCACUACGGUGCUGAAGCAACAAAUGCCCUGCUUCCAGGAAAAGCCUCUAAGCAUCAGGUAACAUCAAAUCGUACCCCAAACCGACACAGGUGGUCAGGUAGAGAAUACCAAGGCGCUUGAGAGAACUCGGGUGAAGGAACUAGGCAAAAUGGUGCCGUAACUUCGGGAGAAGGCACGCUGACAUGUAGGUGAAGCGGUUUACCCGUGGAGCUGAAGUCAGUCGAAGAUACCAGCUGGCUGCAACUGUUUAUUAAAAACACAGCACUGUGCAAACACGAAAGUGGACGUAUACGGUGUGACGCCUGCCCGGUGCCGGAAGGUUAAUUGAUGGGGUCAGCGCAAGCGAAGCUCCUGAUCGAAGCCCCGGUAAACGGCGGCCGUAACUAUAACGGUCCUAAGGUAGCGAAAUUCCUUGUCGGGUAAGUUCCGACCUGCACGAAUGGCGUAAUGAUGGCCAGGCUGUCUCCACCCGAGACUCAGUGAAAUUGAACUCGCUGUGAAGAUGCAGUGUACCCGCGGCAAGACGGAAAGACCCCGUGAACCUUUACUAUAGCUUGACACUGAACAUUGAGCCUUGAUGUGUAGGAUAGGUGGGAGGCUUUGAAGCGUGGACGCCAGUCUGCGUGGAGCCAACCUUGAAAUACCACCCUUUAAUGUUUGAUGUUCUAACGUGGACCCGUAAUCCGGGUUGCGGACAGUGUCUGGUGGGUAGUUUGACUGGGGCGGUCUCCUCCUAAAGAGUAACGGAGGAGCACGAAGGUUGGCUAAUCCUGGUCGGACAUCAGGAGGUUAGUGCAAUGGCAUAAGCCAGCUUGACUGCGAGCGUGACGGCGCGAGCAGGUGCGAAAGCAGGUCAUAGUGAUCCGGUGGUUCUGAAUGGAAGGGCCAUCGCUCAACGGAUAAAAGGUACUCCGGGGAUAACAGGCUGAUACCGCCCAAGAGUUCAUAUCGACGGCGGUGUUUGGCACCUCGAUGUCGGCUCAUCACAUCCUGGGGCUGAAGUAGGUCCCAAGGGUAUGGCUGUUCGCCAUUUAAAGUGGUACGCGAGCUGGGUUUAGAACGUCGUGAGACAGUUCGGUCCCUAUCUGCCGUGGGCGCUGGAGAACUGAGGGGGGCUGCUCCUAGUACGAGAGGACCGGAGUGGACGCAUCACUGGUGUUCGGGUUGUCAUGCCAAUGGCACUGCCCGGUAGCUAAAUGCGGAAGAGAUAAGUGCUGAAAGCAUCUAAGCACGAAACUUGCCCCGAGAUGAGUUCUCCCUGAGACUUUAAGUCUCCUGAAGGAACGUUAAAGACGAUGACGUUGAUAGGCCGGGUGUGUAAGCGCAGCGAUGCGUUGAGCUAACCGGUACUAAUGAACCGUGAGGCUUAACCUUACAACGCCGAAGCUGUU
rnacentral:rRNA from 1 species